CAAUCACAACUCACCCUACACCCCCAAAACCCCCAAGGCUGGCUCAUUUUCACUUUGUGGCCGAAAAUAGGUAGAGAGAAAAAGAGAGAAAAGUUCUUAGUUCCAAAUCUUCAAAGCUUGAUUUCUGCUGAACUAAAACUCAAAUCAAAAUUCCAAUCCGACCAAAAUGAUCCUCUCUUCUUUCUCUACAUGAUCAUAUGACUUAUCAAGGCUGGGAUCAAGGAGGAAAAAGUGCUUAAGGACCACCUGAAAGUUUGAUUGAAUUAGGAGCAGCAAAACCAG